rnacentral:rRNA from 1 species
AAACCACAAGGAUUCCCCUAGUAACGGCGAGUGAAGUGGGAAAAGCUCAACUUUGAAAUCUGGCAGCUUCGCUGUCCGAGUUGUAGUCUCGAGAAGUGUUUUCCGCGCUGGACCAUGUAUGAGUCUGUUGGAAUACAGCGUCAUAGAGGGUGAGAACCCCGUUCAUGACAUGCCUUCCAGUGCUCUGUGAUACACUUUCGAUGAGUCGAGUUGUUUGGGAAUGCAGCUCAAAUUGGGUGGUAAAUUCCAUCUAAAGCUAAAUAUUGGGGAGAGACCGAUAGCAAACAAGUACCGUGAGGGAAAGAUGAAAAGCACUUUGGAAAGAGAGUUAAAAGUACGUGAAAUUGUUGAAAGGGAAACGCUUGAAGUCAGACGUGCGCAGCUUCGGCUAAUGCAGGCUAGCAUCGGUUUUGCGAGUCGGAUAAAGGUAAAGGGAAGGUGGCAGUCUCGGCUGUGUUAUAGCCCUUUACUGAAUACGGAUUGCGAGACCGAGGGAUGCAGCGCGCCGAAAGGCAAAGGGUUCGCCCUUUUCGCGCUCAGGAUGCUGGUGAAAUGGCUU